AUUGAACGCUGGCGGCAGGCCUAACACAUGCAAGUCGAGCGAGCGGCGGACGGGUGAGUAAUGUCUGGGAAACUGCCUGAUGGAGGGGGAUAACUACUGGAAACGGUAGCUAAUACCGCAUACCAUCAGAUGUGCCCAGAUGGGAUUAGCUAGUAGGUGGGGUAAUGGCUCACCUAGGCGACGAUCCCUAGCUGGUCUGAGAGGAUGACCAGCAACCCUGGAACUGAGACACGGUCCAGAUCCCUAGGGGGGGAAGCGUUGGGGAUAAUUGCAAAUUGGGGGCAAGCCUGAGGCGGCCAUGCCGCGUGUGUGAAGAAGGCCUUCGGGUUGUAAAGCACUUUAGGCGGGGAGGCGUUACCCGCAGAAGAGCACCGGCUAACUCCGUGCCAGCAGCCGCGGUAAUAC
rnacentral:rRNA from 1 species